rnacentral:tRNA from 1 species
GGCGAGGUAGUUCAGUAUAGAAUGUCUAUUUUACACGUAGAAGGCGGAUGUUUAUCCUAUUGUCA